CCUACGGGGGGCAGCAGUGGGGGAUAUUGCACAAUGGGGGGAACCCUGAUGCAGCGACGCCGCGUGGGUGAAGGAGUGCUUCGGCAUGUAAAGCCCUAUCGGCAGGGAAGAAGCAAGACGGUACCUGACUAAGAAGCCCCGGCUAACUACGUGCCAGCAGCCGCGGUAAUACGUAGGGGGCGCGCGUUAUCCGGAGUCACUGGGUGUAAAGGGAGCGUAGACGGCCAUGCAGGCAAGGGGUGAAAGGCCGGGGCGCAACCCCGGAACUGCUCUUGGGACUGCAUGGCUGGAGUGCGGGAGGGGCAAGCGGAAGUCGUGGUGUAGCGGUGAAAUGCGUAGAUAGCAGGAGGA
rnacentral:rRNA from 1 species